rnacentral:antisense_RNA from 1 species
AGAGAGGGGUGUUCCAGGUGCAGGCGAAGCGUCCUCCCUGUGUUCCUGGAGGACUGUCCCAAGCCUCUCUCCAUUCUCCCAACCUCUCUGGCCUGGCAGAAAGGUGUUAAAUGGUUUGCAGAAUUGUUGGGAAGGCUAAGCUUCCAGGAGCCGCUCCCAAAGUCUCCACACACAACUGGACCACCAGGGAACCUGCUCCCUCCACCAGGACAGGACUUGGAAACCUGCCACCACCAUUACCAACACCAGAAGGAUCUUGUCUCUGCUAAGCCUCUGUCCACAUAGUGAAUGCCCUGUGCCCUGCCUCUCUUCCUCUGAUUCAGGUCCCACUCCGGGUCUUGCCCAAGUCUUUCUGAUUGGUGGAACUUAAAUCACACCCAAAAUCCCAGCUGCAGGAGAGCUGAGAUUUCAUCUUUCCAACCUCUGUGUGCUGCAUGGGGGUUGGAGCACUUGCUGACAAGCCUUGCAACAACCAUUGACAGGAUGUCCUCCACCUUUUCAGUCUGAUUUGCUCUUUGCCAUGCAGACCUGUGGAUGAAAAGCCAGAGUCCUCCAAGGUGAAGCUGGACUGAAUAUUUCUGUCCAUAAGACUAUUAGAAUCCCCCAAAGUGGGAUACCAGUGAGGACUUCACCAGCAGCUGCUGU